UACGGGGGGGGCAAGCGUUGUUCGGAAUUACUGGGCGUAAAGGGCUCGUAGGCGGCCAACUAAGUCAGACGUGAAAUCCCUCGGCUUAACCGGGGAACUGCGUCUGAUACUGGAUGGCUUGAGUUCGGGAGAGGGAUGCGGAAUUCCAGGUGUAGCGGUGAAAUGCGUAGAUAUCUGGAGGAACACCGGUGGCGAAGGCGGCAUCCUGGACCAAUACUGACACUGAGGAGCGAAAGCCAGGGGAGCAAACGGG
rnacentral:rRNA from 1 species